rnacentral:rRNA from 1 species
GACGAACGCUGGCGGCGUGCUUAACACAUGCAAGUCGAACGGAAAGGCCCUGCUUGCAGGGUGCUCGAGUGGCGAAAGGGUGAGUAAAACGUGGGAGUUAUGCGCUGCACUUCGGGAUAAGCCUGGGAAAAUGGGGCUCAUACCGGAUAGGGGCCAUUUUUAGGGAGAGGGUGGGAAGGAUUUUUCGGUGUAGGGUGAGCUGGCGGGCUGUCUGCUUGUUGGUGGGGUAGUGGCCUACCAAGGCGGCGGCGGGUAGCCGGCCGGAGCGGGGGGGCGGCCACAUUGGGGCUGGGAUUCGGCCCAGACUCCUACGGGGGGCAGCAGGUGGGAAAUUUGCACAAUGGGGGCGAGCCUGAUGCAGCGACGCCGCGUGGGGGAUUACGGCCUUCGGGUUGUAAACUCCUUUCGCUAUGUACGAAGCUGUUUGUGACGGUACCGAGAUAAGAAGCACCGGCUAACUACGUG